rfam:Felis catus isolate Cinnamon breed Abyssinian chromosome F2, whole genome shotgun sequence.
GCCUGGGUGGCUCAUUCAGUUGAGCAUCUGACUUUGGCUCAGGUCAUGAUCUCAUGGUUUGUGGGUUCAGGCCCCACCUUGGGUU